rnacentral:rRNA from 1 species
CCUACGGGUGGCAGCAGUGGGGAAUAUUGGGCAAUGGGCGCAAGCCUGACCCAGCAACGCCGCGUGAAGGAAGAAGGCUUUCGGGUUGUAAACUUCUUUUUUCAGGGGAGAGUAGAAGACGGUACCUGACGAAUACGCCACGGCUAACUACGUGCCAGCAGCCGCGGUAAUACGUAGGUGGCAAGCGUUUUCCGGAUUUACUAGGUGUAAAGGGCGUGUAGCCGGGUUGACAAGUCAGAAGUGAAAUCCUGCGGCUUAACCGCAGAACUGCAUUUGAAACUGUUGAUCUUGAGUACUGGAGAGGCAGAUGGAAUUCCUAGUGUAGCGGUGAAAUGCGUAGAUAUUAGGAGGAACACCAGUAGCGAAGGCGGUCUGCUGGACAGCAACUGACGGUGAGGCGCGAAAGCGUGGGGAGCAAACAGGAUUAGAUACCCGUGUAGUC